UACGUAGGGUGCAAGCGUUGUCCGGAAUUAUUGGGCGGAAAGAGCUCGUAGGCGGUUUGUUGCGUCGGCUGUGAAAUCCCGAGGCUCAACCUCGGGUCUGCAGUCGAUACGAGCAAACUAGAGUGUUGCAGGGGAGACUGGAAUUCCUGGUGUAGCGGUGAAAUGCGCAGAUAUCAGGAGGAACACCGAUGGCGAAGGCAGGUCUCUGGGCCACUACUGACGCUGAGAAGCGAAAGCAUGGGGAGCGAACAGG
rnacentral:rRNA from 1 species